rnacentral:rRNA from 1 species
GCCUACGGCCAUACCACCCUGAACACUCCCGAUCUUGGAAGCUAAGCAGGGUCGGGCCUGGUUAGUACUUGGAUGGGAGACCGCCUGGGAAUACCAGGUGUUGUAGGCU